ensembl:lncRNA
GAUGGAGAACACUGAGGUCCAUGAGAACAACCAUAAGCUGAAGAAGGAGAUUACCUUCUCUAGAAACCUGCUCAGCCAGCUCGUGAUGGAGAACACAUGUAGGAAGAAGUUGGUCCCACUGAAGCAGGAGAACAAGGAGGUACAUCUUGAUUGUGCACUGAACCAGAAAUAUUUGGUUGACUUCAACAAGAAAGAUAAAGACCAUCAACGGCCAGAACCAGCAUUAUCAGGUCUCAGAAAGUGCAAGAGAGCUGGAAUUGGACACACCCCAGUAAGAGAGCUUCCUGAAGAAUAAGUUGCUUUCUCAGGAGUCCCUGAUGACCAACAUCCUGAAUGGUAACAUUUUUUGGAUGAGUAUUCAUCCUCUGCGUUAAUUUGUCAUUUCUUAGAGACGCUAAAUUUAU